rnacentral:rRNA from 1 species
GCCUACGGGGGGCAGCAGUGGGGAAUAUUGCACAAUGGGGGAAACCCUGAUGCAGCGACGCCGCGUGAGUGAAGAAGUGUUUCGGUAUGUAAAGCUCUAUCAGCAGGGGAGAAAAUGACGGUACCUGAGUAAGAAGCCCCGGCUAACUACGUGCCAGCAGCCGCGGUAAUACGUAGGGGGCAAGCGUUAUCCGGAUUUAUUGGGUUUAAAGGGUGCGCAGGCGGGCUGUUAAGCCGGCGGUAAAAAUUCAGGGCUCAACCCUGUCGAGCCGUCGGAACUGGCAGUCUUGAGUGGGCGAGAAGUAU